GGAAAUGGUGUCACCUGUUACCUUCACUGGAGCUGGAGACACAGUGCCUUGGACCGCUGAGGGCAACUGGAUCAUUUCCCUUCUCGGAUGCUUGGAGUGCCCCCCGUCCUGAACUCACCGCGGGCUCGUGCAGAGCAGCAAGUGACCGUGUUUAGCACCACCAGAGAACCUGAUUUUUCAGCCACAUGGCCUGAUGAUGCUCAGCCUUCAGACUCGUCAGACGGAUGCACGAGGGCCCCUGGAAGGAGCCUGGAUCACCAAGGAGGCCAAAACACCAACGUGUCACCGUCACCGCAGAGCAGCUGAAAAUGUGACAUGAUUAGAGAUCAGGGCAGUAAUGAGACAGUUUAUCUUCCCCACACAUAUGGCACUGGGUGAGCCACUGGGAAAUAAAAAAAGCUUCGAUAAAUCAUAUUGUCCCUGCCAUGGAAGCAAUAACACCAGCAACCCCAGGAAGAGGGAGAAGUUUGCUCUGACACCCAUUCCCAAGGUGUCCUGGCUGCAAGCCUGGCACUUGGAGGCCUCAUUCCUAUUGAAUUCAUUCCUGUGCUGGAGUUUGGACUGUUCUUUUAUUAUUUUAGGAGCUUUUACCCCGGGGAGCUGUUUGACUCCAUAAUGGGGUUGUUUGCUUGAGGAAGGCUGGUUUGUAAGGGGAGGCAACACGUGCAGUGCAAGGCUAGCCAAGCUUUUCCUUGCUAAAUCACCAUUUCUCACUGAAAAUACAGAUGCAAGAGACUUUAUCCAAGCCCUAAAUCCAACUGCUUUGGAGGAGCACCGAGCUGGGCUUGACGAGGAGAUGGGAGCAGGGUGGUUUGUAACCUCCACCCCAUCCCACCAGGUACUGCUGGGGGAUGGCACAGCUCUCUCUGCCCCUCCAGCAGAUCCAACUCUGCAGGACAGACCUCCAGCCAAAAGCUGCAGGUUGGACAUUCCACCUGCUCUUGCAUAAUCAAUUACUGGGGCUGAAGAAAAGAAACUCAUAACGACUUCCCACUCACACAUCGAACCCCCUACAAAUGGCUUCUUGCCCUGGUGGAACAGAAUAUUGUGAGAGCGCCAGAAAUAGGUAGCAAUCAGAUAAUGCUGCAACCCACUCCCAUCUGCCAUCAGAGAAAAAAAUCCUGCCCAAGUGAAAGCAAGGAAGAGCCGGGAGGAAUCGCCGAGUCCCGCACUGUGCCCUGGGCAUCAGCACCUGCUUCGUGUUCCACACUCUGCCCUUGGAAUGGGAUGGGCAGCACUUUUUCCCGAGCCAGGAGGAACUGCUGGUUGCAAAUGAAAGCGCUGGAAUGCUGGAAAGACAUCUGGCUGACAGAGCCAUGCGUUUCCUUUAUAAUGUGAUG